rnacentral:rRNA from 1 species
GUGCUGCCGCCGCGGUAAUACGGAGGGGGUUAGCGUUGUUCGGAAUUACUGGGCGUAAAGCGCGCGUAGGCGGACUAGUCAGUCAGAGGUGAAAUCCCAGGGCUCAACCCUGGAACUGCCUUUGAUACUGCUAGUCUUGAGUUCGAGAGAGGUGAGUGGAAUUCCGAGUGUAGAGGUGAAAUUCGUAGAUAUUCGGAGGAGCACCAGUGGCGAAGGCGACUUACUGGCUCGAUACUGACGCUGAGGUGCGAAAGUGUGGGGAGCAAACGGGAUUAGAUA